GAUGAACGCUAGCUACAGGCUUAACACAUGCAAGUCGAGGGGCAGCAUUACGGUAGCUUGCUACUGUAGAUGGCGACCGGCGCACGGGUGAGUAACGCGUAUCCAACCUGCCCAUGACUUGGGGAUAACCUUGCGAAAGCAAGCCUAAUACCCGAUACGCUUCAUAGACGGCAUCUGAAAUGAAGUAAAGGUUUACGGUUAUGGAUGGGGAUGCGUCCGAUUAGCUUGUUGGCGGGGUAACGGCCCACCAAGGCAUCGAUCGGUAGGGGUUCUGAGAGGAAGGUCCCCCCACAUUGGAACUGAGACACGGUCCAAACU
rnacentral:rRNA from 1 species